UAAAAAAAAAAAAGUAAUACUGCACCAUUACAAACAUCGCACGAACCCCAAAAACGGCCGUGGACUUUCCGGUAAGCAAAAUUCCCUGUUUGGCUCUACUCCCAAGCAAAGUUGAAAGCUAGACCCCAAAAAUCUUCCAUCCCAAACACAUCGCCACAUCGCUCUUCGAUGUCGCCUCCGCCAUCCAAUUAGCUUCGAAGCCAAUAAAAUUAAAUAAUUAGUAAAAAAAAUCUUGAUGGCGAUUCUUUACGCGGUGGUGGCUAGAGGCACGGUGGUUCUGGCGGAGUUCAGCGCUGUGACCGGGAACACCGGGGCGGUGGCACGGCGUAUCCUCGAGAAACUUCCGGGGGAGGCCGAUUCGAGACUCUGCUUCUCCCAGGAUCGGUAUAUCUUUCAUAUACUCAGAUCCGAUGGCCUGAGUUUCCUCUGUAUGGCCAACGAUACUUUUGGAAGGAGAAUUCCAUUUUCAUACUUGGAGGAUAUUCACAUGAGGUUCAUGAAAAACUAUGGCAGAGUGGCGCAUUAUGCACCAGCAUAUGCAAUGAAUGAUGAGUUCUCACGGGUGUUGCAUCAACAAAUGGAGUUUUUCUCCAGUAAUCCUAGUGCAGAUACCCUCAAUCGUGUUAGAGGUGAAGUGGGUGAGAUACGUACAAUUAUGGUGGAAAACAUCGAGAAAAUACUAGAGAGAGGUGAUAGAAUUGAGCUUCUUGUUGACAAAACGGCGACAAUGCAAGAUGGUGCAUUUCACUUCAAGAAACAGUCUAAACGCCUUCGUCGAGCUCUUUGGAUGAAAAAUGCCAAACUCUUGGCACUGUUGACAUGCUUGAUUGUUCUGUUACUUUACAUAAUAAUCGCUGCUUGCUGUGGAGGCAUCACUCUACCUUCAUGCCGAUCCUGAGUGGCAGUCUUACUGGUAUAAAUUUCUGAAGAGGGGUAUGCAUUUAUCUUGAAGAGUAUUUGUCCAAGUUUGUCCCUGAGGAGGCUCCUUGCUUUCCAAUUCAGGGUUUUGAGGUGUAUUUUGAAACAGGGUGUCUAUGCUGCUCACGGUUCCAGAAAGACCUGUAUGUUUCACAGCUGUUGCUGCGCCUCACCUAGAUAUUUGUCUUGGAAGAAUGAGUUGCCAUUCCAUUGUUGCAGUUGCAGAACAUGUGGUGCAUUAUAGCUAGUAGAAAUGCAGGAAACAUGUGAUAUGGAUGUUAUGAAGUGCUAAAUAGUAAAAGUAGAUGAUGUGAUUAUUCAUGCGAAGCUUGAUGGUCUUGUUCUCCUUGGUAAGAUAUCAAGUAAACCAGUUCUGACUAAUGGCUAUAAGGGCAAAAGUGGAUAUACAGAUUUUAUUUA